rnacentral:rRNA from 1 species
AGUGAACGCUGGCGGCAGGCCUAACACGUGCAAGUCGAACGGCAGCACAAGAGAGCUUGCUCUCUGGGUGGCGAGUGGCGGACGGGUGAGGAAUGCAUCGGAAUCUGCCCAUUUGUGGGGGAUAACCUCGGGAAACCGGGACUAAUACCGCAUACGACCUACGGGUGAAAGCAGGGGAUCUUCGGACCUUGCGCAGAUGGAUGAGCCGAUGCCGGAUUAGCUAGUUGGAGGGGUAAAGGCCCACCAAGGCGACGAUCCGUAGCUGGUCUGAGAGGAUGAUCAGCCACACUGGGACUGAGACACGGCCCAGACUCCUACGGGAGGCAGCAGUGGGGAAUAUUGGACAAUGGGCGCAAGCCUGAUCCAGCCAUGCCGCGUGUGUGAAGAAGGCCUUCGGGUUGUAAAGCACUUUUGUUGGGAAAGAAAAGCAGCCGGUUAAUACCCGGUUGUCAUGACGGUACCCAAAGAAUAAGCACCGGCUAACUUCGU